UGCUGCAUGGCUGUCGUCAGCUCGUGUCGUGAGAUGGUUGGGUUAAGUCCCCGCAACGAGCGCAACCCUCCGCCCUUUAGUUGCCAUCAUUCAGGUUGGGCACUCGUAAGGGGACUGCCGGUGAUAAGCCGAGAGGAAGGUGGGGAUGACGUCAAGUCCUCAUGGCCCUUACGGGCUGGGCUACACACGUGCUACAAUGGUGGUGACAGUGGGCAGCGAGACCGCGAGGUCGAGCUAAUCUCCAAAAGCCAUCUCAGUUCGGAUUGCACUCUGCAACUCGAGUGCAUGAAGUUGGAAUCGCUAGUAAUCGCGGAUCAGCAUGCCGCGGUGAAUACGUUCCCGGGCCUU
rnacentral:rRNA from 1 species